rnacentral:rRNA from 1 species
UACAGAGGGGGCGAGCGUUGUUCGGAAUUACUGGGCGUAAAGGGUGCGUAGGCGGCGCGGUAAGUCGGGUGUGAAAUCUCGGAGCUUAACUUCGAAACUGCAUUCGAUACUGCCGUGCUUGAGGACUGGAGAGGAGACUGGAAUUUACGGUGUAGCGGUGAAAUGCGUAGAUAUCGUAAGGAAGACCAGUGGCGAAGGCGGGUCUCUGGACAGUUCCUGACGCUGAGGCACGAAGGUCAGGGGAGCAAACGGG